rnacentral:lncRNA from 1 species
CACUCAUUCUUCUCUCUCCUGCUGCCAUAUGAAAAAGGACCCGUUUCCUUCCCCUUCUGCCAUGAUUGGACCUGGGAGUGCGACAUGGUGGCCUCAGGGGAAAAGGGCUCUCGUCUAGACCUUCUGACUGUCCUCUGGAUCUUCCUGGUGUCCAUGCGGGGCUGCUGCUCUGGGCUGGCCCCAGGGCCUUUGGCCAGUGUCCAUGAGACCCGGAAUUCCAGCAACCAGUUUGACAACUCCUACAGAGAAACAGGAUCCACAUAAGGAUACAGCUUCUUCAUAUCCCUGUCCCAUGACUUCACCCUGCGUUCUUCAACCAAUCAAUGUGUCAGGCCUCUGAGCCCAGGCCUGCACGUAUACAUCCAGAUGGCAUGAAGUAACUGAGGAAUCACAAAAGAAGUGAAACUGGCCGGUUCCUGCCUUAACUGAUGACAUUACCUUGUGAAAUUCCUUCUCCUGGCUCAUCUGGGCUCAGAAGCUCCUCCACUGAGCACCUUGUGACCCCCCACCCCUGUCCGCCAGAGAGCAACCCCCUUUGACUGUAAUUUUCCACUACCUACCCAAAUCCUGUGAAAUGGCCCCACCCCAUCUCCCUUCACUGACUCUAUUUUCGGACUCCGCCCGCCUGCACCCAGGUGAAAUAAACAGCCUUGUUGCUCACACAAA